rnacentral:rRNA from 1 species
UUGACCUCGAAUCAGGUAGGGAUACCCGCUGAACUUAAGCAUAUCAAUAAGCGGAGGAAAAGAAACCA